GACGAACGCUGGCGGCGUGCUUAACACAUGCAAGUCGAGCGGAAAGGCCUCUUCGGGGGUACUCGAGCGGCGAACGGGUGAGUAACACGUGAGCAACCUGCCCUUCACUUUGGGAUAACCAUCGGAAACGGUGGCUAAUACCGGAUAUGACACUUCCCCGCAUGGGGUGGGUGUGGAAAGUUUUUCGGUGGGGGAUGGGCUCGCGGCCUAUCAGCUUGUUGGUGGGGUAAUGGCCUACCAAGGCGAUGACGGGUAGCCGGCCUGAGAGGGCGACCGGCCACACUGGGACUGAGACACGGCCCAGACUCCUACGGGAGGGCAG
rnacentral:rRNA from 1 species